rnacentral:rRNA from 1 species
CAGCCGCCGCGGUAAUACGUAGGGUGCGAGCGUUAAUCGGAAUUACUGGGCGUAAAGCGUGCGUAGGCGGUUUGUUAAGUCUGUUGUGAAAUCCCCGGGCUCAACCUGGGAAUGGCAAUGGAUACUGGCAAGCUAGAGUGUGUCAGAGGAUGGUGGAAUUCCCGGUGUAGCGGUGAAAUGCGUAGAGAUCGGGAGGAACAUCAGUGGCGAAGGCGGCCAUCUGGGACAACACUGACGCUGAGGCACGAAAGCGUGGGGAGCAAACAGGAUUAGAUACCCGCGUAGUCCCUGUCUCUUAUAC